rnacentral:rRNA from 1 species
CCUACGGGUGGCAGCAGUGGGGAAUAUUGGACAAUGGGCGAAAGCCUGAUCCAGCCAUGCCGCGUGUGUGAAGAAGGCCUUCGGGUUGUAAAGCACUUUCAGUGGGGAAGAAAGCCUUGGGGCUAAUACCCUCGAGGAAGGACAUCACCCACAGAAGAAGCACCGGCUAACUCCGUGCCAGCAGCCGCGGUAAUACGGAGGGUGCGAGCGUUAAUCGGAAUUACUGGGCGUAAAGCGCGCGUAGGCGGUCUGAUAAGCCGGUUGUGAAAGCCCCGGGCUCAACCUGGGAACGGCAUCCGGAACUGUCAGGCUAGAGUGCAGGAGAGGAAGGUAGAAUUCCCGGUGUAGCGGCGAAAUGCGUAGAGAUCGGGAGGAAUACCAGUGGCGAAGGCGGCCUUCUGGACUGACACUGACGCUGAGGUGCGAAAGCGUGGUAGCAAACAGGAUUAGAUACCCUGUAGUC